GACGAACGCUGGCGGCGUGCUUAACACAUGCAAGUCGAACGGAAAGGCGCUGAUUUUGUGCGGUGCUCGAGUGCCGAACGGGUGAGUGUAACGUGUGUAUCCUGCCCUUGUCUUUGGGGUAACAUCACGAAACUGCGGCUAAUACCGGAUAUGAGCUCCUGCUGCGUGGGGGGGGAUGGAAAGUUUCGGCUGUUGUGGAUGGACUGGCGGCUUAUCAGCUUGUUGGUCGGGUAGGGGCUGACCAAGGCUUUGAAGGCUAGGCCGCAUGAGAGCGUGACCGGCCACAUUGGGCCUGAGGGACGGCCCAGUAUGCUAUGGGAGGCAGCAGUGGGGAAUCUUGCAGAACGGGCGGGCGCGUGAUGCAACAACGCUGCGUGCGUGAUGACGGCCUUCGGGGGGUAAACCGCUUUCGCAUGUGACGAAGCGUUAGUGACGGUAAUGGGUAAAGAAGCACCGGCUAACUACGUG
rnacentral:rRNA from 1 species